rnacentral:rRNA from 1 species
CCUGAGUACGACGGAGCACGUGAAAUUCCGUCGGAAUCUGGGAGGACCAUCUCCUAAGGCUAAAUACUCUCUAGUGACCGAUAGUGAACCAGUACCGUGAGGGAAAGGUGAAAAGUACCCCGGAAGGGGAGUGAAAGAGAACUUGAAACCGUGUGCUUACAAGUAGUCAGAGCCCGUUAAUGGGUGAUGGCGUGCCUUUUGUAGAAUGAACCGGCGAGUUACGAUCUGAUGCAAGGUUAAGCAGAAAAUGUGGAGCCGUAGCGAAAGCGAGUCUGAAUAGGGCGAAUGAGUAUUUGGUCGUAGACCCGAAACCAGGUGAUCUACCCUUGGUCAGGUUGAAGUUCAGGUAACACUGAAUGGAGGACCGAACCGACUUACGUUGAAAAGUGAGCGGAUGAACUGAGGGUAGCGGAGAAAUUCCAAUCGAACUUGGAGAUAGCUGGUUCUCUCCGAAAUAGCUUUAGGGCUAGCCUCAAGUGAUGAUUAUUGGAGGUAGAGCACUGUUUGGACGAGGGGCCCCUCUCGGGUUACCGAAUUCAGACAAACUCCGAAUGCCAAAUAAUUUAACUUGGGAGUCAGAAUGUGGG